UGAAGCGGCAACAGCUCAAAUUUGAAAUCUGGCCCUUGGGUCCGAGUUGUAAUUUGUAGAGGAUGCUUUUGGCGAGGUGCCUUCCGAGUUCCCUGGAACGGGACGCCAUAGAGGGUGAGAGCCCCGUCUGGUCGGACACCGAGCCUCUGUAAAGCUCCUUCGACGAGUCGAGUAGUUUGGGAAUGCUGCUCAAAAUGGGAGGUAUAUGUCUUCUAAAGCUAAAUAUUGGCCAGAGACCGAUAGCGCACAAGUAGAGUGAUCGAAAGAUGAAAAGCACUUUGAAAAGAGGGUUAAAAAGUACGUGAAAUUGUUGAAAGGGAAGCGCCUAUGACCAGACUUGGGCCCGGUGAAUCAUCCAGCGUUCUCGCUGGUGCACUUUGCCGGGCACAGGCCAGCAUCAGUUUGGCGCGGGGGAAAAAGGCUUUGGGAAUGUGGCUCCCUCGGGAGUGUUAUAGCCCAUUGUGUAAUACCCUGCGCCGGACUGAGGUACGCGCAUUGCAAGGAUGCUGGCGUAAUGGUCAUCAGCGACCCGUCUUGAAACACGGACCAAGGAGUCGUCUUCGUAUGCGAGUGUUCGGGUGUCAAACCCCUACGCGUAAUGAAAGUGAACGCAGGUGAGAGCUUCGGCGCAUCAUCGACCGAUCCUGAUGUUCUCGGAUGGAUUUGAGUAAGAGCAUACGGGGCCGGACCCGAAAGAAGGUGAACUAUGCCUGUAUAGGGUGAAGCCAGAGGAAACUCUGGUGGAGGCUCGCAGCGGUUCUGACGUGCGAAUCGAUCGUCAAAUAUGGGCAUGGGGGCGAAAGACUAAUCGAACCUUCUAGUAGCUGGUUUCCGCCGAAGUUUCCCUCAGGAUAGCAGUGUUGAACUCAGUUUUAUGAGGUAAAGCGAAUGAUUAGGGACUCGGGGGCGCUAUAUUGCCUUCAUCCAUUCUCAAACUUUAAAUAUGUAAGAAGCCCUUGUUACUUAAUUGAACGUGGGCAUUCGAAUGUAUCAACACUAGUGGGCCAUUUUUGGUAAGCAGAACUGGCGAUGCGGGAUGAACCGAACGCGAGGUUAAGGUGCCGGAGUGGACGCUCAUCAGACACCACAAAAGGUGUUAGUACAUCUUGACAGCAGGACGGUGGCCAUGGAAGUCGGAAUCCGCUAAGGACUGUGUAACAACUCACCUGCCGAAUGUACUAGCCCUGAAAAUGGAUGGCGCUCAAGCGUCCCACCCAUACCUCGCCCUCAGGGUAGAAACGAAGCCCUGAGGAGUAGGCGGACGUGGAGGUCAGUGACGAAGCC
rnacentral:rRNA from 3 species